rnacentral:rRNA from 1 species
CCCCGGUAAACGGCGGCCGUAACUAUAACGGUCCUAAGGUAGCGAAAUUCCUUGUCGGGUAAGUUCCGACCUGCACGAAUGGCGUAAUGAUGGCCACGCUGUCUCCACCCGAGACUCAGUGAAAUUGAAAUCGCUGUGAAGAUGCAGUGUACCCGCGGCUAGACGGAAAGACCCCGUGAACCUUUACUACAGCUUGGCACUGAACAUUGAACCUACAUGUGUAGGAUAGGUGGGAGGCUUUGAAGACGUGACGCCAGUUGCGUUGGAGCCGUCCUUGAAAUACCACCCUUGUAUGUUUGAUGUUCUAACGUUGGCCCCUAAUCGGGGUUGCGGACAGUGCCUGGUGGGUAGUUUGACUGGGGCGGUCUCCUCCCAAAGAGUAACGGAGGAGCACGAAGGUGGGCUAAUCACGGUUGGACAUCGUGAGGUUAGUGCAAUGGCAUAAGCCCGCUUAACUGCGAGAAUGACGGUUCGAGCAGGUGCGAAAGCAGGUCAUAGUGAUCCGGUGGUUCUGAAUGGAAGGGCCAUCGCUCAACGGAUAAAAGGUACUCCGGGGAUAACAGGCUGAUACCGCCCAAGAGUUCAUAUCGACGGCGGUGUUUGGCACCUCGAUGUCGGCUCAUCACAUCCUGGGGCUGAAGUCGGUCCCAAGGGUAUGGCUGUUCGCCAUUUAAAGUGGUACGCGAGCUGGGUUUAGAACGUCGUGAGACAGUUCGGUCCCUAUCUGCCGUGGGCGUUGGAAGAUUGAAGGGGGCUGCUCCUAGUACGAGAGGACCGGAGUGGACGAACCUCUGGUGUUCGGGUUGUGUCGCCAGACGCAUUGCCCGGUAGCUAAGUUCGGAAUCGAUAACCGCUGAAAGCAUCUAAGCGGGAAGCGAGCCCUGAGAUGAGUCUUCCCUGAUACUUUAAGUAUCCUAAAGGGUUGUUCGAGACUAGAACGUUGAUAGGCAGGGUGUGUAAGCGCUGUGAGGCGUUGAGCUAACCUGUACUAAUUGCCCGUGAGGCUUAACCAU